rnacentral:rRNA from 1 species
CGCGUAGGUGGUAGUGUAAGUCUGGGGUGGAAUCCCAGGGCUUAACCCUGAAACUGCCUUGGAAACUGUAUUACUUGAGUCAGUGAGGGGAGGGUAGAAUUCCUGGUGUAGCGGUGAAAUGCGUAGAUAUCAGGAGGAAGGCCUGUGGCGAAGGCGGCCCUCUGGCGCUGGACUGACACUGAGGCGCGAAAGCGUGGGGAGCAAACAGGAUUAGAUACCCUGGUAGUCCACGCCCUAAACGGUGGGCACUAGGUGUAGGGCUCGUAAGGGUUCUGUGCCGAAGGGAAACCAUUAAGUGCCCCGCCUGGGGAGUACGGCCGCAAGGUUGAA